rnacentral:rRNA from 1 species
UGCGCAGGCGGAAUAUUAAGUCAGUGGUGAAAGCCUACAGCUCAACUGUAGAACUGCCAUUGAAACUGAUAUUCUUGAGUAUAGUUGUAGUGGGCGGAAUAUAGCAUGUAGCGGUGAAAUGCUUAGAUAUGCUAUAGAACACCGAUCGCGAAGGCAGCUCACUAAACUAUAACUGACGCUCAGGCACGAAAGCGUGGGGAGCAAACAGGAUUAGAUACCCUGGUAGUCC